AAGUCGUAACAAGGUUUCCGUAGGUGAACCUGCGGAAGGAUCAUUAACACUUUGUUAUCACCAAUACAAACCAAAUGUGAACUGUAACGUCCCUAUCCAUGAGAACAGCCAAGGAUGUUGAGCUCGUGCGGUAGACAAUACCCUUGCUCCAGUAGUCAUUCAAUUGCCUUCGGUCUUUUGAUUGGCGAACAGGCCUAUAUUCACCAAUUUUAACCCUAUAAUUCAACUAUUCAGUUUGUCUAAUCUUCAUAAAACACUUGCAUUGAGAACCUCAAUAUGAAAAUAUUAAGGUAGUUGAUCAAGUUGGAUUUACGAAAUAUUGAACAACUCUUAGCAAUGGAUAUCUUGGGUCAU
rnacentral:misc_RNA from 1 species